rnacentral:rRNA from 1 species
AUUGAACGCUGGCGGCAUGCCUUACACAUGCAAGUCGAACGGCAGCGCGGACUUCGGUCUGGCGGCGAGUGGCGAACGGGUGAGUGAUACAUCGGAACGUACCCUGUUGUGGGGGAUAACUAGUCGAAAGAUUAGCUAAUACCGCAUACGACCUGAGGGUGAAAGUGGGGGACCGCAAGGCCUCACGCAGCAGGAGCGGCCGAUGUCUGAUUAGCUAGUUGGUGGGGUAAAGCCCCACCAAGGCGACGAUCAGUAGCUGGUCUGAGAGGACGAUCAGCCACACUGGGACUGAGACACGGCCCAGACUCCUACGGGAGGCAGCAGUGGGGAAUUUUGGACAAUGGGGGCAACCCUGAUCCAGCAAUGCCGCGUGUGUGAAGAAGGCCUUCGGGUUGUAAAGCACUUUUGUCCGGAAAGAAAUCGCGCUGGUUAAUACCUGGCGUGGAUGACGGUACCGGAAGAAUAAGCACCGGCUAACUACGUGCCAGCAGCCGCCGUAA